UCGAAGGCCUGAAUUGCAAUACGUU
rnacentral:piRNA from 1 species